rnacentral:rRNA from 1 species
UACGUAGGGGGCGAGCGUUGUCCGGAAUUAUUGGGCGUAAAGAGCGUGUAGGCGGUUCGGUAAGUCUGCCGUGAAAACCUGGGGCUCAACCCUCGAAUGCCGGUGGAUACUGUCGGGCUAGAGUGCGGAAGAGGCGAGUGGAAUUCCUGGUGUAGCGGUGAAAUGCGCAGAUAUCAGGAGGAACACCUAUUGCGAAGGCAGCUCGCUGGGACGUAACUGACGCUGAGACGCGAAAGCGUGGGGAGCAAACAGG